rnacentral:rRNA from 1 species
AGAAUCAACGCUGGCGGCGUGCCUAACACAUGCAAGUCGAACGAGAAAGUGGAGCAAUCCAUGAGUAAAGUGGCGACCGGGUGAGUAACACGUGACUAACCUACCUUCGAGUGGGGGAUAACCUCGGGAAACCGGGGCUAAUACCGCAUAAUAUCCACGGAUCAAAGGAGCAAUUCGCUUGAAGAGGGGGUCGCGGCUGAUUAGUUAGUUGGCGGGGUAAUGGCCCACCAAGACAAUGAUCGGUA